AUUGGACAUGGGCGCAGCUGAUCCAUUCAUGCCGCGUGCAGGAUGAAGGCCUUCGGGUUGUAAACUGCUUUUGUACGGAACGAAAAGGUUUGGCUUAAUACGCUGAACUCAUGACGGUACCGUAAGAAUAAGCACCGGCUAACUACGUGCCAGCAGCCGCGGUAAUACGUAGGGUGCGAGCGUUAAUCGGAAUUACUGGGCGUAAAGCGUGCGCAGGCGGUUUUGAAAGUCAGAUGUGAAAUCCCCGGGCUCAACCUGGGAACUGCGUUUGAAACUCCAAAGCUAGAGUAUGGGAGAGGGAGGUAGAAUUCCACGUGUACAGGUGAAAUUCGUACAUAUUAUGUAGAACACCAGUUGCGAAGGCGGCUUUCUGGGUCAACACUGACGCUGAGGCGCGAAAGUAUGGGUAGCAAAGAGGAUUAGAUACCCUCGUAGUCCAUACCAUAAACGAUGAUUGCUAGAUGUCGGAAAUUUAUUUUCAGUAUCGCAGCUAACGCAUUCAGCACUCCGCCUGGGGAGUACGACCGCAAGGUUAAAACUCAAAUGAAUUGACGGGGACCCGCACAAGCGGUGGAGCAUGUGGUUCAAUUCGAAGAUACGCGCAGCAACUUACCAACCCUUGACAUGUCUGUCGCGAGUUUAGGA
rnacentral:rRNA from 1 species